GACAGGACAUGUGUGUGCAUACCGUCCUCGGGAAGCUACACACAUUCUCGGUACAGUAAAAAUGUUUCUGUUGUGUGCAGACCAGGCGCAGCGUGAGCUUUGUACUGGCUCAAGCCCAAGAUGACCUGCGACCUGACAGUACCAAAAGGACAGUGUGCGAGCACGUGCCGCAGCUCUGCAGGAGAGCUGGUCCUCAGGCCGCUCUCACCUGGGAAAGCUGAUCUGCAGUGCCGAGGUUCUUUACAAGGCCCCCGGCAGGGGAGCAAGUAGAGAAGGUGAAGCAACAGGAGCAAAAGAAACAAGCUGGCCUGAGGUGAGAUCGGGAGGAAGGUGGGGGCCAAGUGAAAGCAGAGAGAAUGCCUGUGCCUGCGUACAGUCAUUCUAGCCAGUGGUGAUGCAGAUGACGCCUACACCCACCCAACGGCUGAGUAACAUCAAGAGGGCAUCUAGGGUACCGCAUAGCCAUUGAACAGGCACAGAACUCUUCUCACAGACCGUUUGUGACAAAGUUAUGGAAAGAAAGAACGGGUCAUAUCUGGGAAAUGAUCGUGUUGCAGACACAAGUAAGCUCAGACAACAUAAAGGUGGCUUAAUA